rnacentral:lncRNA from 1 species
GCGAUGGGGCUGGGCUGAGGCGAGGGGGCGGCGGCGACAGCGGCGGCCCCGGCCCCCCGCGGCUCCUCGGCAGCUCCGGCCGGGAGGCCGCGGGUGAGUGGCGCCGGCUUCCCGGCGCAGUCUGGCCGAGCGAACGGAGCGUGGAGAGGGUGGUGAUCGCGGAGGUUGGAGGAGACGAGUGGAAUGGUCAGGGUGGCGGGUACCGGAUCUGACAGAAACAUCCUUGGAUCUUGGUGUCUGGACAAGAAGAGGAUGAAACUGAGACGUCCCAGAGUCACAACUACUAAUAUUGGAAACCUAGAAAUUGGAACCUCUAUGUCACAGUUACAUACAGCUGGGGUCUGGCUCUCUCUUAUACUGAAAAUUGGUUAACUCAUCAAACCCCUGCCUCCCCCCAUACUUUUUUUUUUUUAAUUAAUAAAGUAGAACAAUAAUACUUGAGAAGUAGCUGAGACCGUAUCCAAAGAAAGGAGCACUCUUCCUGGCACAUAAUAGUUCCUUUCCCUCUUCUACUCCAUAGACUGAAUGAAGCUGCACUUGUUUUGCAUGGUGGUUUUAUAACUACUGUGAAUAUGAAGUCCCCCCCUCCCAUAUGGAUAUACCAGCUUUUAUUUAGCCAUUGUUAUAAGCGGUUUUUGACAACAAACAAGUUAGAUGAUCAGUCAUUUUCACCAAGCUUUGCACAUUUCUCUUUUACUUUAUGUAAUAAACUUUAUUUUUAAAGAGGUUUUGGAUUAUAGAAAAGUUACAUUGAAAGUAUAAGGGGGACGCAGACUUGGCUUAAUGGAUAGGGCGUCUGCCUACCACAUGAGAGGUCUGCAGUUCAAACCCAGGGCCUCCUGACCAGUGUGAUGAACUGGCACACAUGCAGUGCUGAUGUGCACAAGGAGUGCCGAGCCA